GACGAGGGGUCCAAGCGUUGUUCGGAAUCAUUGGGCGUAAAGCGGGUGUAGGUGGCUCUAUAAGUCAGGAGUGAAAGCCCCAAGCUUAACUUGGGAAGUGCUUUUGAUACUGCAGAGCUUGAAUGUGGGAGAGGUUAAUAGAAUUCCAGGUGUAGUGGUGAAAUACGUAGAUAUCUGGAGGAAUACCGGAGGCGAAGGCGGUUAACUGGCCCAACAUUGACACUGAGACCCGAAAGCGUGGUGAUCAAACAGG
rnacentral:rRNA from 1 species